UAGAAGUUUAUCAGUACGAAAGGACAGUAGACUUUUUUGUUGAAUGCGAGUAAUGGUUGGUUUUGCAAAAGCUGAUUAGGGUUGUUGUGAUUGACCCCGUGUUUUAUUUGUUUAACUGUGGCAAUAAGAAGUUUUGCUUCAUUGGCUGCAUGAAGUUUGUUUAUUAGUUUAUUGGAUUAUGUUUUCUGAUUGAUUUUAUCAGCAGUUGAUUUUUUGUUUGAACGGGAGUUCUAUAAGGAUGAUGCAAUUAAAGGGGAUAGGACACAGUGCCAGCAUCUGCGGUUAGUCUGUUUUCUUUGCUUUUAUGUGGAUUAUUGGUAUUUAUUUAUGUGCAAUGUUAGGUUAAAUUUUUUUGUUAUGGUGUUGUAUAAAUAAAUUUUGUUAAGAUAUAUGUGGUGACAGGGAUUAGAUACCCCAUUAAUAUAUUUUGUAAGGUUGUUCUAGUUUUGUAACUAAAAUGGUUUGGCAGUGAGUGAUUCUUGUUAGGGGAAGAUGCAUAGUAAAGGAUGGUCCACCUAUUAAUUUACUCUUUUUAUGUUGGUGUAUGUCUGGUUUGAUAUUAUUGUUUAGUAAUGUAAGUUUGUGUAGUUUUAGUUAAGCUAAGUCUAUGUGCUGCUUAUAAGAGUUUUUGUGUGUUACAUUGAUAGGAAUAUUGUUGUAAUAUGGUAUUGUUUAGGACUUAAUAGUAAUGUUUGAAUUAGUUUGUUGAUGUGAAUUGAGUUUAACUCAG
rnacentral:rRNA from 1 species